CGGGUCGGCCGGGCGGUCGCUGGAUCCGUAAGGGUCUGGAGGAAAGUCCGGGCUCCACAUGGCACGGUGCUGGCUAACGGCCAGCGGGGGUGACCCCGGGCAAGCGCAACAGAGAGUAGACCGCCGGAGACUUUGGUCUCCGGCAAGGGUGAAAGGGUGAGGUAAGAGCUCACCGGCCGUCUGGGUGACCAGGCGGGCCAGGCAUGCCCCACCGGGAGCAAGACCAAAUAGGGGAACUAUAAAGCCGCCUGCUUUGUUCCCGGGUAGGUCGCUGGAGCGCUGGAGUAAUCCAGCGCCUAGAUGAAUGACCGCCAGGGGCCCACGCGCCCCCACAGAACCCGGCUUACAGGCUGACCCGGUUU
rnacentral:RNase_P_RNA from 1 species